GUUUUGCUAAAAGAUAUCUGGGACAGUAUGCCGCUGCAAGUAUUCUGGAAAUAGUGAGAAGACUUAUACGUGCAUGGAAAAAUCGAAAAGGCAGUAUUCCAUUGGGACAACAUGAAGGUAAGAUUAUAAUAUGUAGAUAGUGAGAUCUGUGUUAAAAUAGGAAAAGAAAAGAUGGUAUUUGAGAGCUGGAGAAAUAAGGGAUAGGCCUUGGGAACUGGAAUAGAGUCUGUAUGAUCAAACACAUAGAAGAGAAGAAAUUUCAUGAAGUCCUAGGGCUAUUCACAGGAUCCAUAAGGAGUAUCACAGAAGACUUGUCUGAACAGGAAAAAAAUAAGAAGAAAUAGCAAUGGAAAGAGAGAAAAGUUUAAUGGGCAGAGGGGGGGGAGGAGGAGAAAUAGUAAUUUGUGGAUGUGGAGUGAAUGAUUGGCUCUAGGAAUAAGCUCUGUCAAUUACCAUCCACCUUUUGCAUGGCAUUUGGUUUUAGCAAACUCAAUGAGCUACUUUUCCAUUUACUUGCUUAGUUAUAUAGAUAGUUAACUACUUCUAUGAUACAUACUUCUUUUUGAUGAUAGAGAUUAGAUUUUUAUUUUCAUUGAAACUGUCUCAGAGAAUUGUCUAGAGCACAGAAAGUUUUGUACAGUCAGAACACCAAUGUGGGUCACAUGUAGAACUCUCACUAGGACCUUCUUUAUUCCUGGCCUGCCUCUCAGACUUUUUUGAUCUCUCUGAUCUCCAGAUCCUGAAAACUUUCUUUUAUGUACACCCUGUGUCUGAUUGGAUAAAACGUAAACUGAAGAAAAUGGGUUAUAAAACGUCAUUGUUAAAAACCUUGAAGAGCUACUGAUUAAAGGCUUGAUUGUUGUGUUUCCGUUCAGACCUCUGUAGUGCAGGCUGAUGAGAGGAAAUGGUGACCAAAGUGACAAAGGGUGAAAAAAGAGCAGGCAAGAGGAGUGAGGAACAGAUAGUGGAAGAUGGCUGCCUUGGAACCAGGGAGAAAAAGCAACCAAAGGGUCCCUUCCUUUCACACAGAGUAUGAGGAGCUCCAGAUGUAUCCAGAGUUCUUUGUUGGCCAACUUUGUGGCCACUUAGAAUCCAGAGAUAUGGUGUUCCCUUCUUGUCUAAAAUAUGAUCGUUCUCUCUGGGAGCAGGUUUCUUGGGGAGGUUUUCUGGAGGCAAACUUAGUUUUGGUUCAGCUCACUAAUCACUUCAAAUGCAGCCAGCCGAUAAAAUCCAAAUUUUCUCCUUCCUUGGGCCUGGGUAGCUUUCUUAGAGGCCUAUCUCUCUGCUUGGUUCCAAGAGCUCUUGCAGCUUGUCCUUUGCCUCUGCUUUCUUCAGCCUCCUGCCAGUACAAAGGUGGAAAAUGGAAUGAAUCUGACUCCGCCUGGGCUUGUGGGCUUCUGUACCUCCCAGAGUGCUCUUUGGCCCUGAGAGCUUCUUGCUUAUGUGCUGUUCACUGAGUACACACCAAUCCUUAUAUCACUGGGAAACCAUUAUUUGUUGUAUGAUUAAAUCAAUGCUAAACUAGACUUAAACAUUGUCUCCUCAAUUCUACCUAGUACCUUGUUUCAAGUUCUGGCCUGUAACAUCUCCUCGCAAUAUCAGAUCAGUCAUACUGAACCAAGCUAAAUUAGAUAAUUAUUGUCUCUAUCAAAUCUAAUGAGUUAACACUUUGUAAGCAUUCCAACACAGAGACAUAAUUUAAUGAUGUUUAAAUGAGGUGACCAUAGGAUGAAAUACAAACUGAAAAAUAAAGUUUUUGCCAAUAAUUGGGAAAGGGGAAAGGGGAACCACUUGCCAAUAAUCACUUAGCAGAGGCAGAAAUGGGGAUUCCUAAGACCCUGGACAGGAGGACUCUAACUCACCUUUGCAGACUUACUUCACACUGCUUGUCUUUUCUCUUUUUUCCAACCAAAGUAUUUUGGUCAUUUUUCUGUAUAUUGCCCUGCUCUGUGUCCUUUCAGGCCAUCUGGUGUAAUCUCUCUUUUUCUUCAGAAAGAUUCUCAAGUAUAUACUCCAUAAAGCUUUUCUGGAAUUUCCCAUUCUUCCUGACAAUUAUUUCCUAAUCUCAAUCUGUUAGUUUCUUUGAAAGGAGUAUCCAUUAUAAACAUGAUCAACUCAUGUCACAGAGUACCUACUCAUGUAUAUGACACUGCAACCCAUCCCAAGGUUUAUUCAACUUAGAAAUAAUACCCAUUUGUUUUUCUGAAUUUUUCAUAAAAUGAAAUACAGAUCAAAUGUAAAAUAAUGACAAAAAGAAUUACACAUAAAUAUUCCCAUGAGUUCAUUGGCCUAGAUUUUCUGGAAACUGAGAGACUGAGGGUGACUUUGCCUAUCCAAGUUGUCUGAAUUAUACUGUCUACUUUGUUCAUGUCUGAGGUACAAAAAAAAAUCACUUUCAAUGAUGUCCACACAGAAUAUACACAUAAAAACAAAUAUGGGUCACUUCUAGCAGCAUAUGGGCUAUCCCUCUUUCCUGGAAAUUAAACAUUCACAUGUGCUCCAUCUGUCCAUAGCCAUUGAAUCAUUUUCUUCUCCAAUCAGGAAAUGCUGUGCACAUAAAUGAAAGGGAAAAAACACUAAGAUCAGAAACCUAUUAAACAGCUUGCCUAUCUUCUAUCUAGAAAAAGGAUAAUUAAUGACUUUUUUUAGCCUAGUUGAGUGAAUAAAAAUAUCAACAUGCACAUUACGUAAAAUGUUUAUAUUACUAAUGUGUAUUUGUUUGAUGCUGUUAAGGAAGUAUUUGUUUUCAAUUUCAAAAUUCGACCCUUCCUUCAAUUUCUUAGUACUUAAGAAGACGGACACAUACUGAGACUAACUUUAUAACUUCUUUUGUACAAAAUUUGUUGAGAUUUUUUUGGAUUGUUGAAUGAUAAACUAAUUUUAUUUUAUAAAAUAAACAAUGUUCAAUCUUUUACAUUGUAUUUUCUGAUAUUAAUCAACAGUUUCUCUGUAAAUAGCCUGACUUUCCAUAAAUGAUAAAUUAUAUUUGUUGAAGGGAAUUUUAUGGUAGUAACAUUUAUCUUAACAUUUAGAGAUUUAGAACAAUGAUGCUUUUUUAAAAUUACUUACAAAAUUGAAAGGUUUUGUACAUCAUUCCCUCGAUAUCCUUUAUCGACGUUCUUUCUGGUAUUACUGCAUCUAAACAUUUUUAAAUGGAUAAAGUGACUGAUACCAGAUGUAUAAUUAUGUCAGUAGAUAAUGUGGAGAUGGAGGGAAAUUAAAAUAUAUCAUCAACUAUUAAUUCUGCAUUUAUACUUCUAAGUGGAUGUAUUCAGAAUAUUGGUCUCUAGCCC
rnacentral:lncRNA from 1 species